GAUGAACGCUGGCGGCGUGCCUAAUACAUGCAAGUCGAGCGAACGGACGAGAAGCUUGCUUUUCUGAUGUUAGCGGCGGACGGGUGAGUAACACGUGGAUAACCUACCUAUAAGACUGGGAUAACUUCGGGAAACCGGAGCUAAUACCGGAUAAUAUUUUGAACCGCAUGGUUCAAAAGUGAAAGACGGUCUUGCUGUCACUUAUAGAUGGAUCCGCGCUGCAUUAGCUAGUUGGUAAGGUAACGGCUUACCUAGGCAACGAUGCAUAGCCGACCUGAGAGGGUGAUCGGCCACCCUGGAACUGAGACACGGUCCAGACUCCUACGGGAGGCAGCAGUAGGGAAUCUUCCGCAAUGGGCGAAAGCCUGACGGAGCAACGCCGCGUGAGUGAUGAAGGUCUUCGGAUCGUAAAACUCUGUUAUUAGGGAAGAACAUAUGUGUAAGUAACUGUGCACAUCUUGACGGUACCUAAUCAGAAAGCCACGGCUAACUACGUG
rnacentral:rRNA from 1 species